AAAGAAAAAAAAAGAAAAAAAAAGAAGAAAAAAGAGAGAGGUUGCUAUAAGAUUUAAACAAGUGCAUUUCUCCUCAGUUUCCCCGUAGUUAAUCUUCUUGUGUGGUUCAUUCCUCCUUCUCCC
rnacentral:ribozyme from 1 species